rnacentral:rRNA from 1 species
CCUACGGGGGGUAGCAGUGAGGAAUAUUGGUCAAUGGGCGAGAGCCUGAACCAGCCAAGUCGCGUGAGGGAGUACUGCCCUAUGGGUUGUAAACCUCUUUUGUCGGGGAGCAAAAGCCGGACGUUUCCGGCUGUGAGAGUACCCGAAGAAAAAGCAUCGGCUAACUCCGUGCCAGCAGCCGCGGUAAUACGGAGGAUGCGAGCGUUAUCCGGAUUUAUUGGGUUUAAAGGGUUCGCAGGCGGAUUUUUAAGUCAGCGGUAAAAUCGUGGGGCUCAACCCCAUCCAGCCGUUGAAACUGGGGAUCUAGAGUGUGCGAGAGGUAUGCGGAAUGCGUGGUGUAGCGGUGAAAUGCAUAGAUAUCACGCAGAACCCCGAUUGCGAAGGCAGCAUACCGGUGCACAACUGACGCUCAGGCACGAAAGCGUGGGUAUCGAACAGGAUUAGAUACCCCUGUAGUC